rnacentral:rRNA from 1 species
AUGAUGUCACUGAAGCCCUCUGCAUCCGCCGCCGCCGAAGGCUGCAGGAUUGCCUCAACCCCUCGCUCCGCGCUGACGGCGAGGUCAACACCAUUGCAAGUAAUUAAUAUUUUGGGAAACUUCGUUAGAAUUUGGUCUGUGUAUUCGUUGUAUAGCCACUUGUCCAGUACUGGGGAUUCAAUAGUUGGCUUUAUCUUCAGUUGCCUUGUACCAGCUUCUGUCAUCUUCUUAAUCUUACAGAAGCCUUGGAAAGGUCGGCCUUUGCCCAACUCACAGAUUGUUCCUACAGUUGUCAAUGGCGGAGUUCUGGCAUUAUACUUCGUGUUGUGGGCUAAAGGACUCCUUGCUUGCAGACCACUAGUUGCUCUGCUGGCAGAGUACGCAGGUGCACUUCUUGGAGUUCUCUCUGCUGCUUUAUAUGGAAGGAAAGUUAAUAUAUGGAAAAAGAUUGGAGGACUCGCUGCUAUGCUGCUAGCAUACUAUCUGUUAUCAAAUGGUUGGGCUACAAGAACAAAUUCACCACUAUAUAGCUUUGGAAGUGAACCACUGGAGAAGGCUACAGAAACUACCGGGAUGAAGGAAAUGGUUCUGCCAAUUAGUGCUGGAAUUUUAUCAGCUUUGAGGAGAGUAUUGGCUCGGCGAGUCUCUCUCAAGAAUCUACUCAAAAGGCGACUUCAUGCGAUAACUGUUGCUUCUGCUACAUGUUUUCUUUUUCCAUUUGCAAUGUGGGAUACAAUUCUAGGUUCAACAUCUGACAGCAUAGUUAAAAUGCAACUACCAAGCUGGGCAUAUUUGAGUACUGUUUUGUUCGGAAUGGUGCUUAUAUUCUAUGUUGAUAAUGUUGCUGAGGAAAGCUUGCAUCUGGUCUUUUCUUCUCCAAGGCACUUAGUGGUUUCAACAGGUUGCAUCAUUAUUUUGGAGAUAUUAUACAAAAUGGAUUUCUCCCUUCCUGGUUUGCUGCUUUGUUCUGUGAUUUUGGGAUUUGGUAUUUUGGAAGCAACCUCCUUGGACCGAUCCAAAAAAAGGCCAUUGGAGGCACAUGAACCGUCAAAUGGAUCACUUCACAAUCAGUUGCGGAUUUCAGAACUUCCAAUGUAG